rnacentral:rRNA from 1 species
CAGAGGUCCCAAGCGUUAGGCGGAAUCACUGGGCUUAAAGCGUGUGUAGGCGGACUUGUAAGUACCUUGUGAAAUCCCACGGCUCAACCGUGGAACUGCUGGGUAUACUGCGAGUCUUGAGCCACCUAGGGGCGAGCGGAACAAGUGGUGGAGCGGUGAAAUGCGUAGAUAUCACUUGGAACGCCAAUGGUGAAAACAGCUCGCUGGGGGUGUGCUGACGCUGAGACACGAAAGCCAGGGGAGCAAACGGGG